CGCUAGAAAACUCUCGUCUGGUUCGAGACCGAUCUUCGUUCAACAAAUAGACGAUAAAUCUGACAAAAGAUUUAUCCAAAACUGUAGGGCGGACGAGAGGAGAAAAGAAAAGGGAUUCGCAAAAAUGCGGGCGAGGGUGGAUCGCGCACAAUAUAUCCGGUGUGGAGUCGGCCGCGUGACGGUUAAGACGAAUGUAAAAAGUAAGUAGAAGGGUGGUAUGUUCUCAUUGCUGUUCGCACAAUGCGUCGUCUUUUAGGUGGCUUUCGUGGCGCGCACCGUCAACGUGGCGCAUUAAUACGCACCACCGUGGCUUUUAUGAGCUUUGGAAAAGAGAGCGAUAGCCUGUCUGCCUCUCUAUCUGCCAUUUCACCCUGUUUUCACCGCCGGGUACACCGGGUAUCUCGGCGGUGCCUCGGCGAUGCGUGUUUGCCUCGAUGCCUGGCAGCGGGCCGUGACGUCGUCGUCGUCAUCCAUUCGCAAUCAAAGUUGCGUCGACCGUGGUGCCGUAUCAUUCUGAACGACGACGUACACCACAAGCCGAGCGAGCAUUCACGUGCGGACUGUACGACGAUCCCACACGAUGUUGGCGGCACGCGUAGCGACGCGCUAGCUGUCAGCGUAUGCGUGGCCAGGACCUUUCUAAACGCAGAUACGAGCCGCUGGUCUAGCCAAGGGUUGCGACGAUACAUCCGUAGGUAUAGGAUGGCAAGAACAGACGUCUGUGCUGAUAAAGAGAAAAAAUAUAAAAUUUAGAAAACUUCAAUGAGAAGAAGAAAUCAUGUUCGUAUAACAGAUGGUUUCAAAGACAAAAUUUAAUGUAUAUUUCGGAGCAAAAUAAAUUCGACAAAAUAUAUUAUAUGCAUAUAAAGAUCACAAGAAGACACGUGAGUCUACUUCUGUUGGUUCUUUUAAUUUUCACAUCACUCUGUAGCUAAAGGGAAAUAUUAAAAAGAUACCUAAACAUGUUAGGUAAGAGUACGUGAGAAAUUACACGUCAAACAUAAUUAACAAAUCUGUGAAUUUUGAAAACCGUAUAGCGAUUGAUAUUUCUGCAAAAUAGGUAUGCAUACUAAAUAUAUUAACUAUUACUAUGAAAAAUAAAAUAUAAACUAUGCAGAAUACAAAAGAUGUUUCAAAUAUUAUUGUUUCAAAUGUUAUUAAGAUCGACAAAGGCCACCCAAAUAAAAAGAAUAUUAAGAUAUUUA